rnacentral:rRNA from 1 species
AAAGGGACCUUUUGUGCACUGUAAAAUUUUUUCACUUAAGCUUUGUCUGAUUGAUAUUUGUACCGAAAGGGACAAGAAUUUUAAUCUAAAACAACUUUUAACAAUGGAUCUCUUGGCUCUCGCAUCGAUGAAGAACGCAGCGAAAUGCGAUAAGUAAUGUGAAUUGCAGAAUUCAGUGAAUCAUCGAAUCUUUGAACGCAUAUUGCGCUCUCCGGCAUUCCGGAGAGCAUGCCUGUUUGAGUAUUGGCCUAAACGAGAGUCUUCCUUUAAAGAUAUAAAAAAGAACGUUAAGAACCCUCAGUUGAGACUUCUCGACAAUUCAUUGCCGAGUGUUUUAAAAUGCAAUAGUACCGCCACGUUUGCGAACUUGGAGUAAUAUGUGAGCCUGAAAAGGUGACCUCUAUUCUCCUCGGACCACGUAGACCUGUUAAGCGGGAAGUUUUUGAAUGCCGAAUUAUGGGAGACGGUGUUCAAUUGUUCGAGUAACGACGAACGAAAUAAACU